rnacentral:lncRNA from 1 species
AACAAACAAUCUGGUUUACAUUGAGCACCCCAUUUAUAAUUCCCCUGCUUCACUGUGUCUUCCAUUCUGUAACCACAGGCCAUCGAUGGCUGGUUCUUGAGUGAACGAGUCAUCUACUCCAUGAGACAUUUUGUGUGAGUGUGCAGCCCUGAAGCACAACCAGGCUGGAAGCCCGGCCCCACUGCAGGACCCUAUGCCUAGAAAACGAGCUUUCCCUUUCCUUGAAUUGAGUUCGCUGGGUUUGUUUCAUGCUAGUAACUUGUGGGUGGGGAGCCAAGAGGGUGUGUCCUGUCCCAGGAUAGGCAGCUGAGGAGGGUGUGUUUUGGGGGGCAGGAUAGAUAGGUUUAACCCCGCUGGCCACCACCCCAUUAGAGCAGCUGAGGUGAGCUUCUCGUGUCUGCUGGAAUCCUCAGUUUGCCUGGGUGUCCUCCAAAGCUAUCCCUCCCUGGGGACCUGCAGACCUGGGCAGCUCCUAACUCCACCUGGGAGUCAGCCAUGCUGUCUCCUGCAUGGUACAAACAUCUCUGUAAGUGACUGUGCUCUUUGCCAUAAAAGAAAGUCUAGUGCUCUCACUGUGUUAGCAUUUGACCACCCACCCUCCAUCUUCCUGCUGUGAUAACCAUGCGGGGUGGUGUCCACCAAGCUGAAGAGGGAUUUGAUUUACUUGACUUGAUAUCAAGAGGCACUGUACUUUGGGAAGUCACUUACCUCUCUUGGGCCUAGGUUUCCCGAUCUGUAGAAAUGAGUAAUAAUUUAUGUUUUUCUAUAAAGCUGCUAAGAAGCUCAAAUGAGAUAUUUAUGAAAGUGCUUUGUAAACUGUACGCUGUAAAAACAAGUUACCUGUUAUUGUCUUAUCUUUGUAGAAAUAACAGCAAAUAAGUACAAGAAAGAUGAGAGCGAGAGAGAGAGAGACCGUGAGCGCAAGAAUUACACCCGGUAUGGAAGACGACUCUAAAUAAUGAACUUCUCUUGAGGCAAAAGAGAUGCCCCUCGAACUAACUGAGCUUUAACUUAAUGGAACCCAGACAGGAGCUGCAUGAUCCAACUUCCUAUCCAGGGAUUCUGAGAGGCUGAACAAUUCUAGCCAAGAAAACGAUUAUAAUAUUGAUGAAAUCAAAGCAUCUAGAAGACCGUGCAUUCCAUUUUUAAUCUAGCUGAGAUGGCAUAAUUCAUACCUCCUCAAAUUUGGACAAUUAUAAAUGACUCAACCAGCGAGUGCCAAAUUCCACCUACACCCUGAGUAUACCUGAAGCAACCACCGAAACCCAAGCUAAUCGCCAGAUGUAUGCUCACUGAGUGGGUAACUUACCUAACCUUGAGGUGAGCUAAGAACCAAACACACUCACAGUUUAAAAAGAAUGUUUUGGAAGUGGAUUUUAUUUUAUUUAUUUUUAGUUUUAGUUUUUUUGAGAUGGAGUCUCACUCUGUCACCCAGGCUGGAGCUCAAUGGCGUGGUCUCGGCUCACUGCAACCUUCACCUCCUGAGUUCAAGCGAUUUUCCUGCCUCAGCCUCCUGAGUAGCUAGGACUACAGGCGCAUGCUACCACACCUGGCUAAUUUUUGUAUUUUCAGUAGAGACUAGGUUUUACUAUGUUGGCCAAGCUGGUCUCGAACUCCUGACCUCAUGAUUUGCCAGCUUCUGCCUCCCAGAGUGCUGGGAUUACAAGCAUGAGCCACCACACCCAGCCUGAAGUGGAUUUUAUGAAUAAAGACUUUGUGGCUACCUGUUAUCCUACAGAGUCUGAUGUGGCCUUCACUUUAAUACUUCCUCAAAUAGAUAGUAGUGAGAUGGAAGAGGCAGGAGAAAUAUACAUCUGGGGUCAGUGAGCCACCACACGCAUUUCCAUGAUAAUUCUCCAUACUGGCCAAUUGAUCAAUCAUAUAUUGGAAUAUAAUCCAAAUGCUAGUCAAGGCCUCCGUGUCCAUCUGGCUCCUG